CCUACGGGAGGCAGCAGUGGGGAAUAUUGGACAAUGGGGGGAACCCUGAUCCAGCCAUGCCGCGUGUGUGAAGAAGGCCCUCGGGUUGUAAAGCACUUUCAGUGAGGAAGAACGCCUGGUGGUUAAUACCCAUCAGGAAAGACAUCACUCACAGAAGAAGCACCGGCUAACUCCGUGCCAGCAGCCGCGGUAAUACGGAGGGUGCGAGCGUUAAUCGGAAUUACUGGGCGUAAAGCGCGCGUAGGUGGCUUGAUAAGACGGUUGUGAAAGCCCCGGGCUCAACCUGGGAACGGCAUCCGGAACUGUCAAGCUAGAGUGCAGGAGAGGAAGGUAGAAUUCCCGGUGUAGCGGUGAAAUGCGUAGAGAUCGGGAGGAAUACCAGUGGCGAAGGCGGCCUUCUGGACUGACACUGACACUGAGGUGCGAAAGCGUGGGUAGCAAACAGGAUUAGAUACCCGUGUAGUC
rnacentral:rRNA from 1 species